rnacentral:rRNA from 1 species
UACGUAGGUGGCGAGCGUUGUCCGGAAUGACUGGGUUUAAAGGGGGCGCAGGCGGUCCUGCAAGUUGGAUGUGAAAUACCGGGGCUCAACCCCGGAGCUGCAUCCAAAACUGUAGGACUUGAGUGGAGUAGAGGCAAGCGGAAUUCCGAGUGUAGCGGUGAAAUGCGUAGAUAUUCGGAGGAACACCGGUGGCGAAGGCGGCUUGCUGGGCUCUAACUGACGCUGAGGCCCGAAAGUGUGGGUAGCAAAC